AUUGAACGCUGGCGGCAGGCCUAACACAUGCAAGUCGAGCGGAUGAAGGGAGCUUGCUCCUGGAUUCAGCGGCGGACGGGUGAGUAAUGCCUAGGAAUCUGCCUGGUAGUGGGGGAUAACGUCCGGAAACGGGCGCUAAUACCGCAUACGUCCUGAGGGAGAAAGUGGGGGAUCUUCGGACCUCACGCUAUCAGAUGAGCCUAGGUCGGAUUAGCUAGUUGGUGGGGUAAAGGCCUACCAAGGCGACGAUCCGUAACUGGUCUGAGAGGAUGAUCAGUCACAUGGGAAAUGAAAAAGGGCCAAGCCUCCAGCGGGAGACGCAAGGGGGAAAUUUGGAAAAGGGGGCGAAGGACUGACCAAGCCGGGCGGGGGGUGGAAAGAAGGUCUGUGAAUUGAAAAGAAUUUUAAGUGGGGGGAAAGGGAAGAAAUUAAAUCCCUUCGUGUUUGGACUUAACAAAAAAAAAAAAACCCGGAAAACUCCGGG
rnacentral:rRNA from 1 species